rnacentral:rRNA from 1 species
GAUGAACGCUAGCUACAGGCUUAACACAUGCAAGUCGAGGGGAAACGACAUCGAAAGCUUGCUUUUGUUGGGCGUCGACCGGCGCACGGGUGAGUAACGCGUAUCCAACCUGCCCAUCACUUGGGGAUAACCUUGCGAAAGUAAGACUAAUACCCAAUGAUAUCUCUAGAAGACAUCUGAAAGAGAUUAAAGAUUUAUCGGUGAUGGAUGGGGAUGCGUCUGAUGAGCUUGUUGUCGGGGUAACGGCCCGCCAAGGCAACGCUCAGUAGGGGUUCUGAGAGGAAGGUCCCCCACAUUGGAACUGAGACACGGUCCAAACUCCUACGGGAGGCAGCAGUGAGGAAUAUUGGUCAAUGGGCGAGAGCCUGAACCAGCCAAGUAGCGUGCAGGAAGACGGCCCUAUGGGUUGUAAACUGCUUUUAUAAGGGAAUAAAGUGAGAGUCGUGACUCUUUUUGUAUGUACCUUAUGAAUAAGGACCGGCUAAUUCCGUG